UGGCCUUCAAAUCCGACUUCUCCAACUUCGUUUCCCAUCUACAGAAUUCGGACUACCAGAUGGUUGUGAGAAUGUCGAUCAUCUUCCCACAACAGCA